rnacentral:rRNA from 1 species
AUUGAACGCUGGCGGCAUGCCUUACACAUGCAAGUCGAACGGUAACAGGUCUUCAGAUGCUGACGAGUGGCGAACGGGUGAGUAAUACAUCGGAACGUGCCCGAUCGUGGGGGAUAACGAAGCGAAAGCUUUGCUAAUACCGCAUAAGAUCUACGGAUGAAAGCAGGGGACCGCAAGGCCUUGCGCGAACGGAGCGGCCGAUGGCAGAUUAGGUAGUUGGUGGGAUAAAAGCUUACCAAGCCGAAGAUCUAUAGCUGGUCUGAGAGGACGACCGGCAACAGUGGGACUGAGACACGGCCCAGACUCCUACGGGAGGCAGCAGUGGGGAAUUUUGGACAAUGGGCGAAAGCCUGAUCCAGCCAUGCCGCGUGCAGGAUGAAGGCCUUCGGGUUGUAAACUGCUUUUGUACGGAACGAAAAGACUCUUUCUAAUAAAGAGGGUCCAUGACGGUACCGUAAGAAUAAGCACCGGCUAACUACGUGCCAGCAGCCGCGGUAA